CGCUGGCGGCUGGCCUACUCAUGCAAGCUCGAGCGCANGACCUUCNGACUCUAGUCGGCGGACGNCCUUANNAACGCGUGUGCANUAUACCCUUCACUACGGAAAUAGCCUCGNAGAUAACUGGGAGUAAUACCGUAUACGCCCUUUUGGGGAAAGAUUUAUCGGUGAAGGAUUAGCCCGCGUCUGAUUAGAUAGUUGGUGGGGUAAUGGCCUACCAAGUCUACGAUCAGUAGCUGGUUUGAGAGGAUGAUCAGCAACACUGGGACUGAGACACGGCCCAGACUCCUACGGGAGGCAGCAGUGGGGAAUCUUAGACAAUGGGCGCAAGCCUGAUCUAGCCAUGCCGCGUGAGUGACGAAGGCCUUAGGGUCGUAAAGCUCUUUCGCCAGAGAUGAUAAUGACAGUAUCUGGUAAAGAAACCCCGGCUAACUCCGUGCCAGCAGCCGCGGUAAUACGGAGGGGGUUAGCGUUGUUCGGAAUUACUGGGCGUAAAGCGCACGUAGGCGGAUUGGAAAGUAUGGGGUGAAAUCCCAGGGCUCAACCCUGGAACUGCCUUGUAAACUCCCAGUCUAGAGUUCGAGAGAGGUGAGUGGAAUUCCAAGUGUAGAGGUGAAAUUCGUAGAUAUUUGGAGGAACACCAGUGGCGAAGGCGGCUCACUGGCUCGAUACUGACGCUGAGGUGCGAAAGUGUGGGGAGCAAACAGGAUUAGAUACCCUGGUAGUCCACACCGUAAACGAUGAAUGCCAGACGUCAGGGGGCUUGC
rnacentral:rRNA from 1 species